AACCGACGGUAAAAGAAAAAAAUUGAAAAAAAUAAUAUAUACAAUCAGCUUCGUUUUAAAAGUCUCGCUAACGUGUUCUCUGUCAAUUUUAAACCGACGCUAAACAUGUUGCUAGUAUUAUAAACUCACACAAAACCUCUUAUUAUUCAAUUACCCAAAUUUUUUUUGACACAAGCAAUUCAUUUCGUGAACCCUAGGUGUGUGAUUGAGCUGUUGAAGACCUAUGGCGAUUCUCCUCCGCCUCUGUGCAAAACCUUCAAAUCUCUUUGCCUCUCCGUCUCGCCAGGUCCCUCUCUCCUCUGCCCUUUCUUUCCCUCUCAGUUGGUCAACCUUCCUUCUUCUCCAACAGCGGCGGCAGCUCUUUCAUUCUUCCUCAUCGUCUUCUCCUUAGGCCAAAUCAGAUUUAUUUAGGGCUUAAGGAUUGAGGUUUCUUGGUCUGGCUAUUUAAUUAUCAGCUGACCCGUUCAUUGUUCACUGUUAAACUCAGUGAUGCUCUAGUCUUCACGCCCAUUUCAGUCCCACAGUUUCUAAAAAUCAGGUGGAAUUUUGAGGCAUCUCAGUCAAUCUUUGUACAAUACAUUUUAUUCAAACUGAGGUUGAGGGAAAUGUAGAAAAUGCAGACACCAAAAUCAAAUUCAAGUUAGACGCUCCCUAUAGUAACGAGGAGAUCAAUGCUGUACGGGAUGAGUGAGCUGAAUUUGUGAAACCUUUGAUUAUAGAUUAAGUACUUAAGGUUACUACACUUUUGUUAUAAUACAUGAGUAACACGUUUUAUGAUUAUUGUUAUAUUUUGCAUAUAUUAUUAGUUUAUAUUUAGUUUACGAUAUACGAAUUUAAGUUUUAGAAUCGAUUUUAUUAACAAUUUUGGUAUUGUGUGAUUAGUUAAUAGAAUCGAUUACUAAUUUUAUAUAAGUUUUAAAAA